AAACUAGAAUCCGUUCUUCAGCCAUGUAGCAUCCACAACAAUCACUUUCCUCAUAACUGCAAACCCUUCAAUGCAAGCUCCCAAGGCUACAAAGAGGUACUUGAAUUUACAUCCCUUAUCCAAUUCUACACGGGUUUUUGUUUCCGGAUUCACUUUCUCUAACAUGUACAAAUAACUAUAUAUCAUCUUGUAGCUCUCUUCCGGAC
rnacentral:lncRNA from 1 species